UACGUAGGGGGCAAGCGUUGUCCGGAUUUAUUGGGCGUAAAGAGCGUGUAGGCGGCUAGGUAGGUCCGUUGUGAAAACUCGAGGCUCAACCUCGAGACGUCGAUGGAAACCAUCUGGCUAGAGUCCGGAAGAGGAGAGUGGAAUUCCUGGUGUAGCGGUGAAAUGCGCAGAUAUCAGGAAGAACACCCGUGGCGAAGGCGGCAUCCUGGACCGACAUUGACGCUGAACGGCGAAAGCUAGGGGAGCAAACGGG
rnacentral:rRNA from 1 species